rnacentral:rRNA from 1 species
ACAUGCAGUCGAACGGUGAAGAGAGCUUGCUCUCUGGAUCAGUGGCGAACGGGUGAGUAACACGUGAGCAAUCUGCCCCUGACUCUGGGAUAAGCGCUGGAAACGGCGUCUAAUACCGGAUACGAGCUGCGAAGGCAUCUUCAGCAGCUGGAAAGAAUUUCGGUCAGGGAUGAGCUCGCGGCCUAUCAGCUAGUUGGUGAGGUAAUGGCUCACCAAGGCGUCGACGGGUAGCCGGCCUGAGAGGGUGACCGGCCACACUGGGACUGAGACACGGCCCAGACUCCUACGGGAGGCAGCAGUGGGGAAUAUUGCACAAUGGGCGCAAGCCUGAUGCAGCAACGCCGCGUGAGGGACGACGGCCUUCGGGUUGUAAACCUCUUUUAGCAGGGAAGAAGCGAAAGUGACGGUACCUGCAGAAAAAGCGCCGGCUAACUACGUGCCAGCAGCCGCGGUAAUACGUAGGGCGCAAGCGUUAUCCGGAAUUAUUGGGCGUAAAGAGCUCGUAGGCGGUUUGUCGCGUCUGCUGUGAAAACCCGAGGCUCAACCUCGGGCCUGCAGUGGGUACGGGCAGACUAGAGUGCGGUAGGGGAGAUUGGAAUUCCUGGUGUAGCGGUGGAAUGCGCAGAUAUCAGGAGGAACACCGAUGGCGAAGGCAGAUCUCUGGGCCGUAACUGACGCUGA